CAACCUCAACUCAUAUGGGACUACCCCCUGAAUUUAAGCAUAUUAAUUAGGGGAGGAAAAGAAACUAACAAGGAUUUUCUUAGUAGCGGCGAGCGAAAAGAAAUCAGUUCAGCACUAAGUCACUUUGUCUAUAUGGCAAAUGUGAGAUGCAGUGUAUGGAGCGUCAAUAUUCUAGUAUGAGAAAUUAACGAUUUAAGUCCUUCUUAAAUGAGGCCAUUUACCCAUAGAGGGUGCCAGGCCCGUAUAACGUUAAUGAUUACUAGAUGAUGUUUCCAAAGAGUCGUGUUGCUUGAUAGUGCAGCACUAAGUGGGUGGUAAACUCCAUCUAAAACUAAAUAUAACCAUGAGACCGAUAGUAAACAAGUACCGUGAGGGAAAGUUGAAAAGAACUCUGAAUAGAGAGUUAAAUAGUACGUGAAACUGCUUAGAGGUUAAGCCCGAUGAACCUGAAUAUCCGUUAUGGAAAAUUCAUCAUUAAAGUUAUAAUAUUUAAACAAUAUUAUACAAAUAAUGUGCAUUUUUUCCAUAUAAGGACAUUGUAAUCUAUUAACAUAUUAAAUUUAUCAUAAAAUAUGGCUUAUAGUUUAUUCAAAUUAUUAUGCUUGCAUUUUAACAUAGAAUAAAUGUCAUUAAUUUGAUAAAGUGUUGAUAGACUAAUAAGAAUACAGUGCGUUAAUUUUUCGGAAUUAUAUAAUGGCAUAAUUAUCAUUGAUUUUUUGUGUUUAUUAUAAGCACUUGUAUGAUUAACCAUGCGAAAGAUUUCAGGAUACUUUCGGGACCCGUCUUGG
rnacentral:ncRNA from 1 species